rnacentral:rRNA from 1 species
UACGGGGGGGGCAAGCGUUGUUCGGAAUUACUGGGCGUAAAGGGCUCGUAGGUGGCCAACUAAGUCAGACGUGAAAUCCCCAGGCUCAACUUGGGAACUGCGUCUGAUACUGGAUGGCUUGAAUUCGGGAGAGGGAUGCAGAAUUCCAGGUGUAGCGGUGAAAUGCGUAGAUAUCGGAAGGAACACCAGUGGCGAAAGCGGCUUCCUGGUCCAGCACCGACGUUCAGGCACGAAAGCGUGGGGAGCAAACAGG